GUCUUCUUAGGACAAUAUUAACUGUAAAUAGAAAUAUAGAUAAAAUGCAAGGUCCAGAUGAGAGCAACGCUUUUAUUCUGUUGUGAAAUCUGAAGUUGCUUCCACUAUUUUAUUAAGGAGGCUGUUAAACACCAGCCUGCAGCUGUUGGGCUCUUUAGAGAAAACCUUUUAACCCCCCCUGCUGUCCACAACAGGAACAACACUUUAAUCUAUCUAGAGCAGAAUCUCUCUGUCAGGAUUUCUUGGUGUCAGUAUUGAUUAUUCUAACAAGCAGUGUUCAUGUACAGAUAGACACCGUGAUGGAGGACCUUUUUUAGAUUAUUUAAUGUUAGUAAAAGUACUAAUACCACACUGUCAGAAUAAUCUGAUACAAGUAGAAGUGCUGCAUUGAAAUUGUCCUUAAAGGUCCAGUAUGUAACAUUUAGGUAAAUAUAUUGUCAGAACUGUAAUAUAACAUUCACAGGUAUGUUUUCAUUAGUGUUUAAUCACCUGAAAAUAAUAAUCUUUGUGUUUUCCGUUACCUUAGAAUUAAUCGUUUUUAUCUACAAAGGCAGCGGGUCACUGGCUUUAGAUACGACCUUUCAGGAGUUUCACUGCCACCAUAGUUUCUCCGAUACUCUUGGAAGGCUGAGCUGUUGUCAGUGCUAGCUCAUAUUUGUACUUAAGUACAACACUUGAGUUCUUGAUGUUAUAUUCCACCGCUGGGUUCAGGAUUGUUUGUCCUUCUAUCAGUCAGUCGUUCUCUGGCAACAAAUAAUUUGAUAUUUCUAGUAUUAUUUCUAUUUAUUUCUCCUCCGUUUUGACCAUGAAUACACCUAUUCUCUCUCUCUUAACCUUCCUUCCCAUUCUUCUACUGUGUCUCUCGCCCAGUUAACAAUUGGCCUCUGGUUGUGUGUGGUGCUAUGAUUGCUGUGCUGCUGGCUGGUUAUCUGCUGCUCCUCUACAAAUGGAUAAAAAACAGAAUCUUAAGAACUUCACAUGGCAGAAAUAUGGAGUUAUCUGUCACCCACGAGAACAGGGCUCCAGUCUCCACAAAUGAAGACUCCCUCUACCAGAGCCUAAAUCCAGCCAGCAGGGACCAGGACCAGAUCUACUCCUCACUCACAAACCCACAUGAUCCUGUCUGAAGUUCAGUUCAAGUUUAAAUGUAUGCUGGUUACAUAACUGCCUGAAAAUCACAAAUUGUCAAUUUUAACAUUUCUGUUUCUGAUCAUAAACUGAUGUGUCCUGUUAAUGUUGUAUAACUGCAUUUGUUAUUCAGUAGUCCAUUGUUAGUCAAUAUCAAUGACAUCUUCUCUCGGGUUGAAUAAAGUGUAGUUAAAUUUGUGUAUUAGAGGUUUCAGUGUAUUUUAUGUCAAUAAUAAAACAAUCAAACUCAAAACGGCAUUUUCUCAAAAUUGUAUGAGCAACCUCUUCAGCAAAUAAAAGCUAGUAGAUUUCUUGGAAAUGUCAUUUCUUCUCUGAACUGCAUUCUGUUCCACUCAGUAUUGUCAUCAGUCUGGAAUAACCACCGAGACUCAUUCAAACAUACAUGCAGUUUAACCUGAAGCACAAAUGGUAAACUUGAGUUACUUACAAAUGAGAAUUAUUACAGAAAUAAACAAAAAAUCAUCACUGGUAAAAACACUUCAAUAUCUGCUCUGUCCACUUUCUCUCAUCCACCCAGGCAGUGUUUUACUCAGCAAGCUACCUCUGCUAAUAGCUAAUUGUUAGCAGAGCGUUACCUGCAGACAGACAGCCACAUCUGAGGAGGACAGACAACAGGAUGAUUAACUGAUGAACGUCACUCUGUAGUUCGAUGUCCGGAAUAUUAUUCAUUU
rnacentral:lncRNA from 15 species